GACGAACGCUGGCGGCGUGCUUAACACAUGCAAGUCGAACGGAAAGGCCCUGCUUUUGUGGGGUGCUCGAGUGGCGAACGGGUGAGUAGCACGUGAGUAACCUGCCCUUGACUUUGGGAUAACUUCAGGAAACUGGGGCUAAUACCGGAUAGGAGCUCCUGCUGCAUGGUGGGGGUUGGAAAGUUUCGGCGGUUGGGGAUGGACUCGCGGCUUAUCAGCUUGUUGGUGGGGUAGUGGCUUACCAAGGCUUUGACAGGUAGCCGGCCUGAGAGGGUGACCGGCCACAUUGGGACUGAGAUACGGCCCAGACUCCUACGGGAGGCAGCAGUGGGGAAUAUUGCACAAUGGGCGGAAGCCUGAUGCAGCAACGCCGCGUGCGGGAUGACGGCCUUCGGGUUGUAAACCGCUUUCGCCUGUGACGAAGCGUGAGUGACGGUAAUGGGUAAAGAAGCACCGGCUAACUACGUG
rnacentral:rRNA from 1 species